CAAUAAGCGGAGGAAAAGAAACCAACAGGGAUUGCCUUAGUAACGGCGAGUGAAGCGGCAACAGCUCAAAUUUGAAAUCUGGCCCUUGGGUCCGAAUUGUAAUUUGUAGAGGAUGAUUUUGGUGCGGUAUCUUCCGAGUUCCUUGGAACAGGACGCCUUAGAGGGUGAGAGCCCCGUACGGUUGAAUGCCUAGCCUCUGUAAAUCUCCUUCGACGAGUCGAGUAGUUUGGGAAUGCUGCUCUAAAUGGGAGGUAAAUUUCUUCUAAAGCUAAAUAUUGGCCAGAGACCGAUAGCGCACAAGUAGAGUGAUCGAAAGAUGAAAAGCACUUUGAAAAGAGGGUUAAAUAGCACGUGAAAUUGUUGAAAGGGAAGGAUUUGUGACCAGACUUUUUCUGGGCGGAUCAUCCGGGGUUCUCUCCGGUGCACUUCGCCCAGUAAAGGCCAGCAUCGGUUUUCGGCGUGGGAUAAAAGCAGUAGGAAUGUGGCUCUCUACGGGGAGUGUUAUAGCCUAUUGUAUAAUACCGCGCUGGGGACCGAGGUUCGCGCUUCUGCAAGGAUGCUGGCGUAAUGGUUAUCAAUCACCCGUCUUGAAACACGGACCAAGGAGUCGAACAUUUGUGCAAGUGUUUGGGUGUUAAACCCUCACGCGUAAUGAAAGUGAACGGAGGUGAGAGCCCUUACGGGUGCAUCAUCGACCGAUCCUGAAGUUUUCGGAUGGAUUUGAGUAAGAGCAUAACUGUUCGGACCCGAAAGAUGGUGAACUAUGCGUGGAUAGGGUGAAGCCAGAGGAAACUCUGGUGGAGGCUCGCAGCGGUUCUGACGUGCAAAUCGAUCGUCAAAUCUGCGCAUGGGGGCGAAAGACUAAUCGAACCAUCUAGUAGCUGGUUACCGCC
rnacentral:rRNA from 1 species